UCGGGUGUGAUGACUGCUUGCUUCUUGACGUUACUGUGAUGUGUUGUAUUCAUACUGUCUGACCCGU